CCGGAGCUAGCAAGGCAAGUUUACGUCUGUUGCACUGGGCAGGGAUGCAAGGAAAAGCGACACCGUUGUGCUCUGGGACGAUAUUUACACACCUGAUAUUCCUCUAGUUCGCUCACAAGAACCUGCAACACAUUAAACUAUGUCUCAGAGAGGUCUACAUGAGCAAUUCAACAACAUACAAGACACAAUACAGAGUGAAGCUUCGACGGCGAGCCAGCUCACCUCAGCCGCUCUCCGACAAGGACCCGUUGUCAGAAACCGUGAGAUAAGAUAAUAAAGCUCUUUGCUCCCGCUUUCUAUUCAGCCAGCUAGCAGCCGCCAUUGGAAGGAUGAGGCCUCAGCUUUAUGAGUUACUUCCGCCAGAGCAGAGGAAACAGGGGGUGGGGAGACGACAUACCCUUCCUCUGUCUUGCAACAAAAGCAUUCUGGAGAUUCAUCAUUUUCAGCUUCUGGUCUACCAUUACCCCAACCACCCAUGCAUUUUCACAGACACUG